GGGGAUGUGGCUCAGAGGUGGAGCACUCUCCUAGCAUGUGUGAGGCACUGGGUUCAAUCCUCAGCACCACA
rnacentral:tRNA from 1 species